AAGACAUAAUUGAGUCAUACUAUAAUUUCAAUAAUAAAUGAACUACCAGUGGUAUGCCAUGUGCUAAUGGCAGAAAAUAUACUAGACAUAAUACUCUAUAAAAAGUGGGGUAUUGGCCUUUGGAGCAACUAAUAUAUGUAGUGUUAUAAGGCCACUUGUCCCUGAUAUUUGAGAUGCAGUUCAAGGAUGAGCUAGGUCACUGUGUUAUAGUACACAUCAACUAAAUGUAUAUGUCAGUAGAGAGUGGUGAGAUCAAUUUGUUCUAUAGAUGAAUGAAUGAUCACGAACUUAAAAACAAGAGCAUUAAUUUAAAUGGAAAAGAACAUGUUCAUUUGGUAGCUAGAAUGGACA
rnacentral:lncRNA from 1 species